UCCAUCUUGAGUAGGUGCUGGGUAAAAUG
rnacentral:piRNA from 1 species